AGGAAGCAGCUUGCUGCUUCGCUGACGAGUGGCGGACGGGUGAGUAAUGUCUGGGAAACUGCCUGAUGGAGGGGGAUAACUACUGGAAACGGUGGCUAAUACCGCAUAACGUCGCAAGACCAAAGAGGGGGACCUUCGGGCCUCUUGCCAUCAGAUGUGCCCAGAUGGGAUUAGCUAGUUGGUGAGGUAACGGCUCACCAAGGCGACGAUCCCUAGCUGGUCUGAGAGGAUGACCAGCCACACUGGAACUGAGACACGGUCCAGACUCCUACGGGAGGCAGCAGUGGGGAAUAUUGCACAAUGGGCGCAAGCCUGAUGCAGCCAUGCCGCGUGUAUGAAGAAGGCCUUCGGGUUGUAAAGUACUUUCAGCGGGGAGG
rnacentral:rRNA from 1 species